GUUUGACGUCACAGCCAAUGAACAUUGUGUAAACGGCCAUCUGUUAAAUCAGGGCUACAUUACAUGCAUACAUACAUCAAUAAUUAUGGUGGAUUUAUUUAAUAGAGACAAGACCAUAUUGCCCUCACAGUUUUGAUAUUGCUCCCACAGUGUUGUUAAAAAAUUGUAAAAACAAAUAUUUAAAUAUGGGUGACGAAAAAUGAUUAAAUCAUAGGGGACGCUCCCAUGCGUCUUCUUAUUCUUUUUUUACAUUCAAGGGCAUUUUCGGAGGCAUUUCAGCGUCAUGACGAAAGGAAACCGGUACGCUAAAGCCAUGGUGUGUGUGUGGACACGAAGAGGUCUGUCUGCGCAGUGGUGGAUGUUGAUGUUGGAUUCAAGAGAGGGCUAAGCUACUCGACACUUAACGCCAUGGUUCAGUGGAGAGGCUGUGGCUCAACUACACCGUACGUACCUUUGAGCUCUCUGGAGGAAGAGGAACAAGCCUGGUGGUCUAAAAUACACAUAACAGUUAAGUAAAUUAUUAUUUUUUUCUUAUGUUUAGAAGGCAUGCAUGCCUUCCAAACCAGUCUAUCGUGAAUAAUAGCCGGUUGUCCACAUAGAAUGCCUUCAUAACAAAAGGGAUGAAACGAAAUCAGGAUGAGCAUUUGAUGUAUGUUGUUCCAAAAGGAAGAACUUGUCAUUCACAGAUCUGGUGCCUGGGAUCCAGUUCUAUGCCGCAACAGGGCUAUGUCAAAUGUCAACAGGUGAACCUGAUGGAACAUAGACUGCAUGUUCCAAUUGGGGGGACAGGGACCCUGAGCAAUGAUGGCCCCAGAGCUGGUCCAGGCAGCAGGUCAUUUAAUAGACUUGUCUUUGCUCACCUGGAAGGAGCAGUUAAACCCAAUCUUCUCUCUAAUCUCUAGUUUAUAGCUAACUCUGGUACUGCUAAUGAGCUGUGCAUUGUCCUUGUAAAAUAAAUAAAUGAAUAAACAAUCCGAUUAUUGUUGGGUAACCAAGUGACGUGGUGCCCAGGUAUCAUUACCCUCUUCGGCGUAGGGGUUGUAGGGUACGGCACCUCAGUCAACCUAAUGGAUCUAUUGCUUCCUGUUACUGGAACCAGAAUGAAGAACAGGGUGCCAAAGACAUGCAAGCUAAUUGAAGAGGAACAAUGGUAAAUGGUGGAAGGAGAGCUCUGAUGAUUGUGGUCAGACGGACUCCUGGGCUGGCUGUCACAACAUAGCUAAGGAUAGGAUAGGAUAUAUUUAUUUGUCAUUGGACAGAAGUACAACGAAAUUCAGUGCACUCACGUAUUGGUCUCAUUUAAAAAGGUAACAUAAUAAAUAAUAAAUAAAGAAAGAAAAUACAUUCAACAUUUCGUUCACUCACUACAUUCAUGUCGUCAUACACUAUACCGUUAACUUAGUGCCAUUGUAUGCCUAAAAAAUAGUAUAAAAAAAAAGAAAAUAGUAUGCCUUAAAAUAGUAGUACAAAUAUGUAAAGUGCUGAGCAUUGCAUUACAUGUGGACGUCACGGAUUAAUUAAGACGAUACAAGCCAGUUCUAAUGGCAUCUACCAUACAUGCAAAAGAGCCGAAAGAUGUAGAUGGCCAGGAAGGAUAGUGCACAAAUCUAAGUAUAAAGACCUGCAGCAAUCAGAGUACAAUGAAAACAUGAGCAAGUUGGAUUUACUGAGCUUCAAUAGAAUUUUCGGCAAAACAAAACAAAUGGGCAGCAUGUGCUGCCCGUGGUGAACGCCUGGAUCCAAUACAAGUUGGAAAGCGGAGGCCUACACCAACCUCCAAAGGUUACUCAACAGCUACUGGACUUCCAAUGAAUAGGGCAUGCAGAGUAUGGUUUCACUCUGAAAACAAAUCAAGGACUUCUAAUCCUGGUGUGGAUUUACCACAUAUCAACUGCCUUUAAAAAUUGUGUCUAAGUAACCAUUCACAAGUUGUUAAGAUACAGCAGAUUUGUUUGUUUUACAGCAAAAAAUUUAAUGGCAUCUUGUUACACGAGUAAUUCUAUUUGCAUGGACGAAGUAAAAAGCUGUGUCCAGGCAUUCUCAUCGGUGUGUAGUAAUCUUUAGUUUAGUUUAUUUAUUUCAACAAUGAAUAUAAGAUACAAUAGAAGCACUUUUUAAAAACCAAAGGAAAUACAAGUGCAGGAAAGGGAAAGAAAUCUCAGCAGGCUCACGACAUUCCCUCCACGAUACAGAAACAAAAAUAUUAUUUCAAAUUCUGGUGGCUGGAAUUAUUAAAGAAAGACCCAAUGUUAUCAAUAGUAUUCAUCAUCCUAGGUUGGAACAAUAGGGAUGGCCUCCAUGACGAUACCCCAAUGGAACUGUAUGUCAACAAAGCCAUCAUUCAUUUAUCUUAUCACUCCAUUCAGGGUUUAGGGACGUACACAAUACAGAAAUAAACACAUACAAGCCCCAACAAAUGAUGCACCAUCCAGAGAGUCAAUGCUGAUUAAUAUCUUACUACCUUCAUCUUACCGUGAAUGUGCGCAUGUAGUCAGACAAAGAAUAUUGACAGCACAAGAGAUGUCCCCAUUGUUAUUCAAAAGUUCAAAGCCUUGGUCAUCUCUCCUUUAAUUAGUCCACAGGUCCUUUUUCGAUGAAUAGAAGCACAUCUAAGCUAUUUAUUUGAGAAUACGAAGACCAGGAGAACGCAGUGGAAAAGUAGACCAGCUCUUCAACCGAGCAAGAUGAUUACUGACAUGUUAUCUUGUCCUCCUGUACUCUGGUACGAGGACCAAUGGGCACGCAUGGGGGUACCGUUGCUUCUUUGUGGGAGAUAGCAGCUGUGUGAGAUUAGGCAGGGUAUGCAGGAAAUGUGAGUGUGCAGUUUUAUUCUUAGGCACAGAGAUUGGACGCACAUUAUUUUAUAUAUAGGCUUUAUAGACAUGGUGUAAAGAUCGGAACGAUGCAAUUUGAUGGGUGACAGUUUGGUGCAGUCAGAACUGUUUGACACCUCAAUCAUAGACAUUAUUUCCCGUUUCAUCAUCAUUCUGUCAUAUGUAAAUUGUAACCAAACACCACCGAAAAUGGUCCCAAAUUUACACAAAAAGCAGACCAAUUGCCGGGAUUAUAUAUUCUCAAGGUUUUAUUCGUUUUUGCAUUUCUUGUUUUUGCCUAGCUCUACCGAAAGACACUGGGAGAAUCUUCUCGCAGAUGAAUCAUCAUGUUGGUUGGCCGAGCUGAGGUUACAUGAUACCGUGACUGUUCCAUCAACCCUUGGACAACACGGUAACUCCCAAGAACCUGAAUGAGUGAGGGUUUUCUUUAGUUUGGGCUUAGCACUUGCUACCUGACGGGUCGACGUGACAUCAUCAGGUACUAAAUGUGUAACAUGGACAAAUAUUGAUUUGACAGUCCAGGACUAUCAUUUGUAAAGAACGUUCAAAGAGGGCCUUAUUUUUCAAUAGCAGCUCAGCCUUUUAUCUGUUUCAAAUGAAUGCAGUGUAAAUCCAACAUUAACGGUGAAAUAGAACUAUUGACUAUGCUCAAAGCACCAGGGAAAACUUAAUGUCCUCUUAUUGAAGUAAAAACAAAA